AAUUGUGCUGAGAAACAAAGGAGAGUGGAUGAAGAACACAGCAGCCUGCCUCCACAGCUUUGGAAUCGAUGUGCAAAUAAUUUCCUUGGGAGGAACUCUUUAUAUACAAGAGGAUUCACUCCAAAUUGUACACCACACUCAGGCAUGGGACUAAGAUAAUGAAAGAGAGGCACCUGACUCAAGCAAUGGAUGUCGGAGCAGAAGACUAGAAGGCAAAGCAAGUACAUGCUACCUGUCUGGGCAAGACCUUUCAGUGCCUUUCCAUAUUUCAAUGGGUAGUCAUCUGCACACCUUCCAGUCUUUUCUUCUGUAUUGCAAAGGCUAGAAGCCUUGGUACUAUAUUUAUCAAACUUACUUUUUUUUUUUUUAACAAAUCUUCAAUGUGAUUCUCAUUUUGCUAAGAUACAUUUGUAUGAAAUUUUGAGAUAGAAAAGUAUGAAUAAGAAAGCAUUGCCUUCUUUCUCAGUGGCAGCACACAAACAUAUGGACUUCACAGACACGACAUUUUGCAGCAACUUCUAGAUCUUCCCCCUGUGAGUGCCCUGGGACAUCAUUACAAUAAAUAAACCAUUCAGGAAGUCAAAGGAUGGUAGUUUUCACAGAAGCAUUGCAAGCAUUGAGAAGAAAAAUAAUCCAUAUCUAGUAGGUUUAUUUUUAUGAGGAUAAAUCUCUGGCCUCUCCAUAUGGAAAAGGAUCUCCUGUAAGUUAAUCCUGCCAUCAGGUUGCUGGCUGGUUUGCCUGGGAUAUAAAGCCCUAUUAGUGAGCCAGUGGUGACCUUUGCUGCUGUCUGGUUAGAUGCGCAGCAGCACUGCAGUCACCCUUUCUGAGGGAAAGUUCACGUUUUGAAGCCUAGGUAGAAAUUCUCUCUGUACCACCAUGGUUUCACUGAAUGUGAGUCAAUUGAGGCAUCACCAGGGUGGCAAAAAGUUAUCAAGUCAAGCCCAGUCAACUCAGAAAAUUCAUCUCAGAAUUCCAUUUUACGUCAAUUUCCUGGCAUAAUGUUGAAACACUCUGCCCUUUAGUAUCUGGAACAAUGUCUAACACAAUAAUGCUUAACGCCGGGGAAAUGAGGGCAUAGGUCUGAAUCUCCGGAGAUUCCUUUUAUGGGGAAUAUCUUUUAACACCCCUUAGGAAACAACAUCAACUCACUAAAGACAGUACCAAUAAGGUCUCCUGCCUUCCCCAGGAAUAAAGAUUUAAAUCACACCAGCUCAAUGCUGGUUGAGGGCAAGGGAACAAUGAAUGGCUUGUGGAAGGGGAAAGUUAAAAAUGCAAAUUACAACUUUGUGCCCCAUUUAAGGAAAGAGAACUUGAAUAGCUAUGCAUAUUUGUGUUUUCUUCCUUGCUUUGUUAUGUACAUAUUUGUAUAUAUCAGCCACUAACUUCUUAUCUUUCCUUCAUUCUUCACUUACUAAUUUACAUAAGGUACUGGUAGUUCAUAUAAAUUCAUUUUUAGAGACUAAAUAUAAAAGCAGAAUUGCAACUGAACUUAAGCAAGAAUCAUUAUCACCCAGGGCUAGAUUUGGUGACUAAUAGAAGUUUGGAUCUCUAUUUUUAGAGGAGGGAUUGAGAAAAUUUUUGUAUGGGGAAUAAUUCUAUUCUAUUAGCAAGAAUCGUGUUGUUUUUUGCCAUUGCUGCUAAUUAAAAUUUUAAAUAUUGUCAAAAGUGGUAUAUAUUAUGCUCGAUUUUUUCCUUUUGGCACCCAGUAUAUGUUCCCAAACUCUCCUGUGCUCUUUUUGCUAUCAUGUGAGCUAAAAGCCUGGUAAGUAGAUUUUUCAGACUCCUUUGUAUUCAGUGUUCAGUGUAUGAUGCAUGUUUUGACUAAUGGGUAACUGCAUCUUUAAUCCAUAUUGUUAUUUAACAUACAUUGUAAUUUCCAUACUUGUUUUCAAUCUCCCACACUAGAAUGGCAAUUGUGAAAGCACGGAGGUUUUUUUUCUUUUUAUUUUUUGAGAUGGAGUCUUGCUCUGCUGCCCAGGCUGGAGUGCAGUGGCGUGAUCUCGGCUCACUGCCAGCUCCACCUCCCAGGUUCAAGUGAUUCUCCUGCCUCAGCCUCCCGAGUAGACGGUACUACAGGCGAGCGACACCAUGCCUGGCUAAUUUUUGUAUUUUUACUAAAGACGGGGUUUUACUAUGUUGGUCGGGCUGGUCUCAAACUCCUGACCUCGUGAUCCGCCCACUUCGGCCUCCCAAAGUGCUAGGAUUAUAGGCGUGAGACACCGUGCCUGGCCACAGAGGUUCUUUCUAUCUGGUGCUCAAUAAUAUUUCCUGCAUGAAUGAUUAAUAAGUGAAUUAAUAUUAAAACAAAAAAAUAAGAAAAGUCAAUGACUUUAUAGGAUUUGCACAUUGAAAUAUUUUAAAUUGAACUAGGGUAACUUCAACAUGCUAACACAUGUUGAGACAUGGACAUGGUAAAUUUUUCAGAUCCAUAAUUUUAUAAUAAUUUUCAAAUUACAUGAAAGCUUUGCAGCACUCAAAACCAAGGUAC